rnacentral:rRNA from 1 species
GUCAGAGGUGAAAUUCUUGGAUUUCGGAAAGACCUACCACUGCGAAAGCAUUUGCCAAGGAUGUUUUCAUUGAUCAAGAACGAAAGUAGGGGGCUCGAAGACGAUUAGAUACCGUCGUAGUCUCUACCAUAAACGAUGCCGACCAGGGAUUGGCAGGUGUUCCUUUGAUGACCCUGCCAGCACCUUGAGAGAAAUCAGAGUCUUUGGGUUCCGGGGGGAGUAUGGUCGCAAGGCUGAAACUUAAAGGAAUUGACGGAAGGGCACCACCAGGCGUGGAGCCUGCGGCUUAAUUUGACUCAACACGGGAAAUCUUACCAGGUCCAGACGCGGGAAUGAUGAACAGAUUGAGAGCUCUUUUUUGAUUCUGUGGGUGGUGGUGCAUGCCGUUCUUAGUU